AACGAACGCUGGCGGCAUGCCUAACACAUGCAAGUCGAACGAGAACUUCGGGUCUAGUGGCGCACGGGUGCGUAACGCGUGGGAACCUGCACUUAGGUUCGGAAUAACUCCCUGAAAGGGGUGCUAAUACCGGAUAAUGUCUUCGGACCAAAGAUUUAUUGCCUUUGGAUGGGGCCGCGUUGGAUUCGCUAGUUGGUAGGGUACAAGCCUGCCAAGGCGACGAUGCAUAGCUGGUCGGAGAGGAGGACCAGCCACACUGGGACUGAGACACGGCCCAGACUCGUACGGGAGGCAGCAGUGGGGAGUAUUGGACGAGGAGCGAAAGCCUGAUCCAGCAAUGCCGCGUGAGUGAUGAAGGCCUUAGGGUUGUAAAUCUCUUUUACCCGGGAUGAUAAUGACAGUACCGGGAGAAGAAGCUCCGGCUAACUCCGUG
rnacentral:rRNA from 1 species